ACUCCUACGCGAGGCAGCAGUGGGGAAUAUUGCACAAUGGCGCAAGCCUGAUGCAGCCAUGCCGCGUGUGUGAAGAAGGCCUUCGGUUGUAAAGCACUUUCAGUCGUGAGGAAGGUAGUGUAGUUAAUAGCUGCAUUAUUUGACGUUAGCGACAGAAGAAGCACCGGCUAACUCCGUGCCAGCAGCCGCGGUAAUACGGAGGGUGCGAGCGUUAAUCGGAAUUACUGGGCGUAAAGCGCAUGCAGGUGGUUUGUUAAGUCAGAUGUGAAAGCCCGGGGCUCAACCUCGGAAUAGCAUUUGAAACUGGCAGACUAGAGUACUGUAGAGGGGGUAGAAUUUCAGGUGUAGCGGUGAAAUGCGUAGAGAUCUGAAGGAAUACCGGUGGCGAAGGCGGCCCCCUGGACAGAUACUGACACUCAGAUGCGAAAGCGUGGGGAGCAAACAGGAUUAGAUACCCUGGUAGGAUAGCG
rnacentral:rRNA from 1 species